rnacentral:rRNA from 1 species
UGCCUACGGGGUGCAGCAGUGGGGAAUAUUGCACAAUGGGGGAAACCCUGAUGCAGCGACGCCGCGUGAGUGAUGAAGUAUUUCGGUAUGUAAAGCUCUAUCAGCAGGGAAGAUAAUGACGGUACCUGACUAAGAAGCUCCGGCUAAAUACGUGCCAGCAGCCGCGGUAAUACGUAUGGGGCAAGCGUUAUCCGGAUUUACUGGGUGUAAAGGGAGCGUAGACGGCAGCGCAAGUCUGGAGUGAAAUGCCGGGGCCCAACCCCGGAACUGCUCUGGAAACUGUGAAGCUGGAGUGCAGGAGCGGU